GAUCAAUGAUGAUACUAUCCCGAACCUGAUUCCUUGAUGAAAAACUCAUAUAUACGGAUCUGGCUUCUGAGAU